rnacentral:lncRNA from 1 species
AAACUUUACUUUUUUUUUUAUUUUUUUGUCAAUAAGUUGCUGAAAAGUAAACGCAUGAAUGAGUCACUUCUUUUUAUUUUUUUUCUUCAUGGUAGACAGACUUGUUACAUGUGCAGAAGCUGUUACCUUGUCCUUUUCUGUAUAUAUAUAUAUGUAUAUAUAUGUUUAUAUGUAUAAUUCCGCUGUUGUCAUUAUUUUAGUUUAUUACCAUUUAUGCCACGCAUUGAUGAAUUAAAAUUCGUUUCUAUAGGCACAAAGAUUGUACUUUCGUAUCCCUUAUGUUUGAUAAGUUUUUUAUUCAACACUCCUUCUUUUAAUAAUCGGUCUAUUAAUGGUUUAGCAAGUAAAGGGUAUAUGUUAAGUCCCUUAAUAAUAAUGUCUUUAUUAACAUAUUUUGUUUUCUUACAUAAAGUAUAUACUUCAUUAUAUAAUUUUUCAAUAUCAUUAUUAAUUUCAGUCAUAUUUUCAUUUUGUUUUUGCUCCUCUUCAUUUUGUUUUUGUUCCCUUACAUUUUGUUUUUGUUCCCUUACAUUUUGUAUUUGCUCCCUUACAUUUUGUUUUUGCUCCGUUUCAUUUUGUUUUUGCUCCGUUUCAUUUUGUUUUUGCUCCGUUUCAUUUUGUUUUUGCUCCGUUUCAUUUUGUUUUUGCUCCGUUUCAUUUUGUUUUUUUUUAUUUCUGUUUGUUACAGUAUCAUCAGUGUGGUUAUCUUUGUCAUUUGUUAUACCGUUUUGUAUUUUAUUAACUCCAUCUUUUACUGUAUCAACACAUGUAUCUUCAUUGGUAACAAUAUUUAUGGUGUCUUUUUUUUGCUUAAAUUCAUUUUUAUCUAUCGUUUUAACUGAUAUGUCAUCAUUCACAAAUCGAAACGAUUGGUUUGGCAUCCUUUUAAUUAUGUUUUCUGUUAGAAGUUCGUCUAUUGCAUUAUCUAUUAUAUAUCUUGGUAAAGAGCUAAAUAUUUUUCUCAAUUUUACUUUUACUGCUAAUUUAUUUUCGAUAGCAUAUGUCUUAACUUUUUGUUGCAUUAAGUAUUCUGUAUUAUCCUCUUCAUUUAUAAUAUGCAAAUUUUUUGUUUUAUCUUGUUCGUUGCCCACUAAUACCGAUUCACUUUUUUGUUUUUCCUUAAUGUCUUCUUCAAUUAUAUUAGUUUUAUUG